CAAUUUUGUGCUUUUGGAAAUCAAAUUGGAUAUUUUAUUUGGAAAUCGUAUUCCAUCAAAUAAAAUGCCACGACCAAGGCGUACUAAUAUUAGUCGCCGUUCACGUAAUGCUUAUACUUUAAGGUCGAAUAGAACAUUGCAAAGUGAGGAAUAGCGUGCACAAAUUAAUGCAGAUAGAAGAGAUCGAUAUGCACGAAAUCGAAACUCACCUAAUCGAUCUCUUGAUAGGCAGCCACCUCGCCAAUGCGAGCGGGAGUUCGUGUUUUGCAGCAAACGCUCCUUGCUGCUUUUAAUUACAAUAGUGCGAUUGAUUACAGUGAAUAUGGCUGUAUUGGUGGAAUGACGGUGAGAUGUGCACAUUGUGGUGCAGCCAAAUUUCCAAAUGAAACAGAUGGCAUGUGCUGUGCUAACGGCAAAGUGAAAUUGCCAACAUUUGAACCUCCACCCGAUCCACUACGUUCGCUGAUUUUUGGAAUGGUAUCAACGUCGACACAUUUUUUGUCUCAUAUUCAAGAAUACAAUGAAGUGACAAUCAAGUGACUUCUUUUGGUGCGACAAAAAUUGUAAGAGGCAAUUAUAUGCCGACGUUCAAGGUGAUUAGUUCUUCUUCCUUCUUCUUCAUCCUCCUUCCUCCUUCUUCUUCUCCUCCUUCUUCUUCUUCCUUCUUCGUCUCACAUAUUACAGAUUCAGGGUCAGAUUUACCACCGCGCUGGCUUAUUAUUACCAUAUCCUGAUACCGACCAUCAAUUCUUACAAAUCUAUUUCGUUGGAAAUGAAAAUCGCGAAUUGGAUCGGCGAUGUACAAUUGCAAGGGGGCAAGGCGACAAAUUGUUUCUGAGCUUCAAACAUUUUUUUAUCAACACAAUGAAUUAGUUCGAUUAUUCAAAAUCGCUCUCGAUCGUAUGCCAUCGGCUAACCACAAAAUCAUCUUAAAAGCCGAUAGAACACCCAUUCGAGAGGAUGCAAGACGAUUUAAUGCACCGACAAUCGAUGAUGUGGCUAUUGUAAUUGUUGGGGACCAGUUUUAAUCUCGCGACAUCGUGCUACAUCGAAGAAAUGAGCAAUUACAGCGUGUUUCAGAGCUUCACCGCAGCUAUGAUGCAUUACAAUAUCCAUUAUUGUACUGGAAAGGUGAUGACGCCUAUAAUAUCAAUAUACCAAUGAUAGAUCCACAAACCAGUAGAGUCGUGACAUUCAAAAAAAAGUUAGUGCGAUGAACUAUUAUUCGUACAGAUUCAUUAUUCGCUCAGAAGAAGACAAUUUCAUUUUGAGAUUUGGCAAACUUUUCAAUCAAUACGCUGUUGACAUGUACGCAAAAAUAGAAACAGAAAGUCUGAAUUACCUUCGAUUCAAUAAAGCAAAUUUACGAUCGGAAGAAUAUAUACAUUUGCGAGAUGCAAUAGUGAAUGAUGGUAAUGCAAAUGAUAUCGGACGUUUAACAAUAUUACCAUCCACAUAUGUCGGCAGUCCGCGUCACAUGCUUGAAUACACGCAAGAUGCAAUGUCAUGUGAGUGCUACUGCACGCACACAUAUUGAUAUGGUUGAUUCAAAAAGAUACACCAAAUGAGAUUGAUCGCAUUAUAUCAGCCGAAAUUCCAGAUCAAAACAGCGAUCCACAAUUAUUUCAAUUUGUUACGAAAAACAUGAUUCA